AAAAAAGUGUGCAUUUCCUGAGAGAAAAUGCCCAGGAAAAUGGAAGCAACUACCCAAAAAAGAGAACCCGGAAGUCCUCGGAUCCUCUGAAAAUGGGGACGUUCCCUAAGUACAAUGGGUUGUCUACCUGUCACUAAGUUAGUGAGAAGUCUGUACUGCAAUCACAUUCCCCAGAGACCCGUCAAUCAUCAUCUCUUUGCACCGUUUUAAGUGACUGACAUCAGUUGUCUCGUUGACCUUCAAGACUCCAAUUACUGUUUUCAUCCCCACUGUACAGGAUGUCAUUUUCCCUGUGCCUUUGAGAGUUCAUCUUCUGAAAACACAGUGAGUCGAAGCUUCUCUGUCAUAGACCUUCCCUGCUUUGUCUGGGUAAGUUGCUGGGUCAGACUGCGGAUGCGUAGGCUAUUCAUCGUUUCCUUUGUAAACAUUAAAAUACAGGCUAUAAAAUAUUGUUUGCAUGGUUGAAACAAAGCAGGACGUACAAGGAAUCCGCUUGUCUUCAGAGGGCCCUAUGAUUUGGGGCAGUCGGAGACCGACACGGUGAUACCUGGGAGCACGGCCUUGCCUUUGGCCUUGGAGGGUUCCAGUCAGUCUUUGGGUGCCCUUUAUUUUCACCUUGUUUCAUCAAACGAACUCACAUCAAGGGCUGAAUAAAUAUUUGUGAAUGGUUUGAACUUUGUUCUGUGCCCUUCAAUUCUCUUUGGACUUGGAAGGACAUUUUAAAGAUUCAUCUCCCCAAACUGGACCCACUCAGAGCCAGUUGCCAAGUGA